rnacentral:rRNA from 1 species
UGGGGAAUAUUGGGCAAUGGGGGGAACCCUGACCCAGCAACGCCGCGUGAAGGAAGAAGGCUUUCGGGUUGUAAACUUCUGUCCUGUGAGACGAAGGAAGUGACGGUAUCACAGGAGGAAGCCCCGGCUAACUACGUGCC